ensembl:lncRNA
CCCAGCUGGGAGAGCCGGUGUGGCCGCUUAGGGCCCCCUGCAUCCUGGCCCCACCUGGAUCCUCAGCUCCAGCAAACACUGGGGUCCUUUCUGUCAUGUGAACACUCGGGGCCCAUCCCCACCCCAGGACCUUUGCAUGUGCUGCUCUGCUCUCAUCAUGUACUUCCCCCUCCAAGAGCCUUCUCUGACGCCCUGGAUGAGAGCAGCCACAUUCACCUCCUCCCAGCCGCUCCCCAGCUCAAAGCCUAGUUACGCACAAAUUCACAUAUGUGAGAUUGUAACCCAUCUACAGGGGACACAUGAUGGCCGACUUUGGACCCAAAGGUGGACAUGAGACAAAAGUCCAUCAGCCUUCCGUGGGCUUGAUUCCAUUCUUGAGACCUACUGCAGCACCACUGUUUCUCUGGAACUUCUAGCUCACAAUGCAUUACCGUAUUAACUUUGUUGACUUUAACAAUCACCCUAGAAGGUGACUGAAGAAGCAGUGAACCUCAUAACCCAGAGAACCAUGAACUCACAAACAAGACACUCAUCCAGGGCUUGAAAGGUGUUCCAAAGUACCUGCUGGAGACAGUGUGACAUUUAUAAACAGAUCUUCAG